UUUUAAUUGAAGGCUUGUAUGAAGGGUCGGACAAAGGAUAAGCUGUCUUUAAUUUUUCUUUUGAAUUUGUCUUUUAAGUGAAAAGACUUAAAUUAUUUUAAGGGACGAUAAGACCCUAUAAAGCUUUAUAUUAGUGUAUUUUUAUUUUAAUUUUUAAUGUUUAUAAAAAUAAAUAUAUGAAAAUAUUAUAUUGGGGUGAUAAGAAUAAUUAAUAAACUGUUCUAAUAAAAACAAAGUUAUUUGUAAAAUGAUAGAUCCUUUUUAUAGAUUGAAAGUUAAAGUUACUUUAGGGAUAACAGCGUUAUUUUUUUUGAGAGUUCUAAUCGAAAAAAAAGUUUGCGACCUCGAUGUUGAAUUAAAAUUUCUUUAUGGUGUAGCCGUUAUAAAAGAGAGUCUGUUCGACUUUUAAAAUUUUACGUGAUCU
rnacentral:rRNA from 1 species